CAAGAAAUACAGGGAAAGCAAUGCAUAGCACAGCAAAGCAAAGCAAGGCAAAAUAGCAGCCAAAGCCACGAGAAUCAAGAAGUCAGUGAAGAGCAGGAAAGGAAUGGAGGAAUCUGGCCAGAGCUGUGCCCCUGCUUGCCACAGGAGCUGCGCGGGAGGAGAAGAAUGUGGGCCAAAAGGUAAGAGGAGCUCCUUUGGGUUCUGGGCUUGAAGCAAAGCUGAGAAGCCAUGCCCGGGAGGAGGUGUGGGUAGCUACAGGCCACCUUGCUAUCUCCCCAAGAGAUGAGGUGCGUGGGCUAGGCACCGGGCAGGAGUGCUGGCCAGAAGCAAGCAUCUCUGUGGAGGAAGGCAAAGGGCGGAGGAGGUUCAAGGGUAGCUACCGGGCAUGGCCUUGCUCAGCAAGGGGAGGAAAAGCCUGAAGGGCACGAGAAGGGGAUAGAGAAGGGCAGGCAGUAGGCGUGAAGCUGCGAGCAGAGUAGAGAGCAACUUGGCAGAGCAGCAAGCAGAGUAGGCAAGUGUUGAGGUUUGGCGUGAGUAGCAGCAAAAGCCCAGAGCAUCAAGAAGCAGGAAGUGAGGAGAAGGUAAGUGAAGGGCAGGCAAGGUAAUGGGAGGCA
ensembl:lncRNA